UACGGAGGGGGCAAGCGUUGUUCGGAGUUACUGGGCGUAAAGGGCGCGUAGGCGGUGCAGCAAGUCAGGCGUGAAAGCCCCGGGCUUAACCUGGGAAUUGCGCUUGAUACUGGCGAUCUUGAGUCCGGGGGAGGUGAGUGGAACUCCGAGUGUAGAGGUGAAAUUCGUAGAUAUUCGCAAGAACACCAGUGGCGAAGGCGGCUCACUGGCCCGGUACUGACGCUGAGGUGCGAAAGCGUGGGGAGCAAACAGG
rnacentral:rRNA from 1 species